GACGAACCGUGCAAACGUUAUUCGGAAUCACUGGGCAUAAAGGGCGCGUAGGCGGCUCCAAAAGUCAGGGGUGAAAUCCGGCAGCUUAACUGUCGCAGUGCCUUUGAUACUGUGGAGCUAGAGGGAGGUAGGGGUCUGUGGAACUUCCGGUGGAGCGGUGAAAUGCGUUGAUAUCGGAAGGAACGCCGGUGGCGAAAGCGAACGGACUGGAUCUCUUCUGACGCUGAGGCGCGAAAGCUAGGGGAGCAAACGGGG
rnacentral:rRNA from 1 species